rnacentral:rRNA from 1 species
AUUGAACGCUGGCGGCAGGCCUAACACAUGCAAGUCGAGCGAGCGGCGGACGGGUGAGUAAUGUCUGGGAGACUGCCCGAUAGAGGGGGAUAACUACUGGAAACGGUAGCUAAUACCGCAUACCAUCGGAUGUGCCCAUAUGGGAUUAGCUAGUAGGUGGGGUAACGGCUCACCUAGGCGACGAUCCCUAGCUGGUCUGAGAGGAUGACCAGACACACUGGAAAGGAGACACGGCCCAGACUCCUACGGGAGGCAGCAGUGGGGAAUAUUGCACAAUGGGCGCAAGCCUGAUGCAGCCAUGCCGCGUGUGUGAAGAAGGCCUUAGGGUUGUAAAGCACUUUCAGCGGGGAGGCGUUACCCGCAGAAGAAGCACCGGCUAACUCCGUGCCAGCAGCCGCGGUAAUAC